AGAAAUGGAGGGGCUGGCGCUGUGAUCGUUAGGGAUUACCAAGGAAGAUUCAUAGCUGGUCUAUCUUUCAAAAUUGACGCAUCACACUCGCUAGAUUUGGCGACGGAAGCUGCAUUCAAGGGAGCUCUCUGGGCAAUUAACCUAGGUGAAAUUCAAUGUUUGGAGACCGACUCUAUGGAUUUGAAGAAACGGACUGAAACGGCGAAUGAUAAUUGGGUCUUCAAAAAAUUGCUGGUGGAGCAUAACAUUCACAUUCAACAUAUUUUUAGAGAAGGGAACCAAGCUGCACACCAUUUAGCUUCAUUUUCUCUUAAACAUAAUUUGUACACAACUUUUAUUACAUUCUCAAGUUUGCCCAAACUAGUUAGGGGGGCUAUUCUUAC
rnacentral:lncRNA from 1 species